CGAUAGCGAACAAGUACCGAGAGGGAAAGUUGCAAAGUACUUUGAAGAGAGAGUUCAAGAGGACGUGAAACCGAUAGGAUGGAAGCAGAUGAAGUUGACGAACGUGUGUCGUAUUCAAAAUCGCUAUUAGCGGUUUGUUUUUACGGCCGAUGUGGGCUGGUGGCUUUGGUCAAUGCAACGCGUCUAGCGUCGAUGGUGACCCUGUGGAGGGAUAAUCAGUUGGUGUACGGUGCUUGGUAUGGCUAAGGUUUCGCCGGUCUAAAAGUCAGCGCCUCAUCUGACCCGUCUUGAAACACGGACCAAGGAGUGUAGCGUUUGUGCAAGUCUUAGAGUGUAUCGAAACUUUGAGGCGCAACGAAAGUAAAUGCAGUUUAAUCUGCUGACUUGGGAUGCGUUGUCUCUUGUAGACGGCGCUGGACCAAGGUUUUAUCGCGAUCGCUUGCGGUGCGGUGAAAAUAGAGCGUAAACGGUGCGACCCGAAAGAUGGUGAACUAUGCCUGAGCAGGAAGACUGGAG
rnacentral:rRNA from 1 species